AAAUUGAAGAGUUUGAUCAUGGCUCAGAUUGAACGCUGGCGGCAGGCCUAACACAUGCAAGUCGAGCGGUAGCACAGAGAGCUUGCUCUCGGGUGACGAGCGGCGGACGGGUGAGUAAUGUCUGGGAAACUGCCUGAUGGAGGGGGAUAACUACUGGAAACGGUAGCUAAUACCGCAUAACGUCGCAAGACCAAAGUGGGGGACCUUCGGGCCUCAUGCCAUCAGAUGUGCCCAGAUGGGAUUAGCUAGUAGGUGGGGUAAUGGCUCACCUAGGCGACGAUCCCUAGCUGGUCUGAGAGGAUGACCAGCCACACUGGAACUGAGACACGGUCCAGACUCCUACGGGAGGCAGCAGUGGGGAAUAUUGCACAAUGGGCGCAAGCCUGAUGCAGCCAUGCCGCGUGUAUGAAGAAGGCCUUCGGGUUGUAAAGU
rnacentral:rRNA from 3 species